rnacentral:rRNA from 1 species
CAACACAUUCAAAUUGCGGGGAAAUCCUUAGAGCUUCAGCUACCGCCCGACGAGUGGAAGACACCGUCGUGGGCACCAGGGUAAUGACCUCGGGUAUGGUAAUAACGCUUGAAGAUUGGGCAAUCCGCAGCGAAGUCCCUAUUAUAGGGAGCGCGUUCAGAGACUAGAUGUUUGUGGGUCGCCGAGUCGUCGGUGGCUUAAGGUAUAGUCCGUCCCGUCCCGAAAGGGUCUGGGGUUCAAAUGUAGAUGUUCUGGGCCGCACGCGCGCUACACUGACAGAGCCAGCGAGUUUAUCACCUUGGCCGGAAGGUCCG